CCAGACACUCAGAAACACGAUU
rnacentral:miRNA from 1 species